rnacentral:lncRNA from 1 species
UGAGUGCUGAUUUGAGCAGAACUGGAAGCCAAUUUGGAUCCUAUGUUCCAGCUCCCAGAUGUGGGUCCGGAAGUUUACUUUGAAAACAUCGAUUGUGUUAACACGUAGGGUGUGGUAGGUGAGAUCCGUCGGAACCGGAUAGCGGUGUAGCAGACCGUCGGACGGAGGAACUGAGGCACUGUUUUGUGCAGGCUGGAAGUUCUGGG